GGGCCCGCACAAGCGGUGGAGUAUGUGGUUUAAUUCGAUGCAACGCGAAGAACCUUACCAGGGUUUGACAUCCUGCGAAUCUCUUGGAAACGAGAGAGUGCCUUCGGGAGCGCAGUGACAGGUGGUGCAUGGCUGUCGUCAGCUCGUGUCGUGAGAUGUUGGGUUAAGUCCCGCAACGAGCGCAACCCACGUCUUUAGUUGCCAGCACUUCGGGUGGGAACUCUAAGGAGACUGCCGGUGACAAACCGGAGGAAGGCGGGGACGACGUCAAGUCAUCAUGGCCCUUACGAGUAGGGCUACACACGUGCUACAAUGGCAAGUACAGAGGGCCGCGAAGCCGCGAGGUGGAGCUAAUCUCACAAAGCUUGUCGUAGUCCGGAUUGGAGUCUGCAACUCGACUCCAUGAAGUCGGAAUCGCUAGUAAUCG
rnacentral:rRNA from 1 species